GUCUGGCCUGCUCACUGAUUUUAUUUUUGAAGAGCCGCGGUAUUUUGACCGUGCAAAGGUAGCAUAAUCAUUAGUUUCUUAAUUGGAUGCUGGAAUGAAUGGUUUGACGAGAAAUUAACUGUCUCUUAAUAAAUUAUAAAAUUUAACUUUUAAGUUAAAAGGCUUAAAUAUAUCUUUAGGACGAGAAGACCCUAUAGAGCUUAACAUUAAAAGUUUUUUGUGUUUUAUCUUGUUUAUCUUUCUAUAAUAAAUUUUAAUGUUUGGUUGGGGUGACAUAAAGAAUAAAUAAACUCUUUAUUAUAAAAUCAUUAAUUUAUGUUUAUUUGAUCCAUAAUUUAUGAUCAUAAGAUUAAGUUACCUUAGGGAUAACAGCGUAAUCAUUUUUGAGAGUUCUUAUCAAUAAAAUGGGUUGCGACCUCGAUGUUGGAUUAAGAAUAAUCUUGGGUGUAGU
rnacentral:rRNA from 1 species